AGAGUUUGAUCAUGGCUCAGGACGAACGCUGGCGGCACGCCUAACACAUGCAAGUCGAACGGAGAUGAUUUGAGUUUACUUAGAUCAUCUUAGUGGCGGACGGGUGAGUAACACGUGAACAACCUGCCUUUUAGAGAGGGAUAGCUUCUGGAAACGGAUGGUAAUACCUCAUAACAUACAGAUACCGCAUGGUGACUGUAUCAAAGAUUUAUCACUCAAAGAUGGGCUCGCGUCUGAUUAGAUAGUUGGUGAGGUAACGGCUCACCAAGUCGACGAUCAGUAGCCGGACUGAGAGGUCGAACGGCCACAUUGGGACUGAGACACGGCCCAGACUCCUACGGGAGGCAGCAGUGGGGAAUAUUGCACAAUGGGGGAAACCCUGAUGCAGCGACGCCGCGUGGAGGAAGAAGGUUUCCGGAUUGUAAACUCCUGUCUUAAAGGACGAUAAUGACGGUACUUUAGGAGGAAGCUCCGGCUAACUACGUGCCAGCAGCCGCGGUAAUACGUAGGGAGCGAGCGUUGUCCGGAAUUACUGGGUGUAAAGGGAGCGUAGGCGGGACGGCAAGUCAGAUGUGAAAUACAUGGGCUCAACCCAUGGGCUGCAUUUGAAACUGCUGUUCUUGAGUGAAGUAGAGGUAAGCGGAAUUCCUGGUGUAGCGGUGAAAUGCGUAGAUAUCACGAAGAACUCCGAUUGCGAAGGCAGCUCACUGGAGCGCAACUGACGCUGAAGCUCGAAAGUGCGGGUAUCGAACAGGAUUAGAUACCCUGGUAGUCCGCACGGUAAACGAUGGAUGCCCGCUGUUGGUCUGAAUAGGUCAGCGGCCAAGCGAAAGCAUUAAGCAUCCCACCUGGGGAGUACGCCGGCAACGGUGAAACUCAAAGGAAUUGACGGGGGCCCGCACAAGCGGGGGAACAUGUGGUUUAAUUCGAUGAUACGCGAGGAACCUUACCCGGGCUUGAAUUGCAGAGGAAGGAUUUGGAGACAAUGACGCCCUUCGGGGCCUCUGUGAAGGUGCUGCAUGGUUGUCGUCAGCUCGUGCCGUGAGGUGUCGGCUUAAGUGCCAUAACGAGCGCAACCCCUCUCCUUAGUUGCCAUCAGGUUAAGCUGGGCACUCUGGGGACACUGCCACCGUAAGGUGUGAGGAAGGUGGGGAUGACGUCAAAUCAGCACGGCCCUUACGUCCGGGGCUACACACGUGUUACAAUGGCAGGUACAGAGAGACGGUUGUACGUAAGUACGAUCAAAUCCUUAAAGCCUGUCUCAGUUCGGACUGGGGUCUGCAACCCGACCCCACGAGGCUGGAUUCGCUAGUAAUCGCGCAUCAGCCAUGGCGCGGUGAAUACGUUCCCGGGCCUUGUACACACCGCCCGUCAAGCCAUGAAAGCCGGGGGCGCCUAAAGUCCGUGACCGUAAGGAGCGGCCUAGGGCGAAACUGGUAAUUGGGGCUAAGUCGUAACAAGGUA
rnacentral:rRNA from 1 species